rnacentral:pre_miRNA from 1 species
AUACUACUCCCUCCGUUCGAAAUUACUUGUCGCGGAAAUAGAUGUAUCUAGAUGAAUUUUUAAUUCUAGAUACAUCCAUUUCUGAGACAAGUAAUUCCGAACGGAGGGAGUAGAAA